rnacentral:rRNA from 1 species
UACGAAGGGGGCUAGCGUUGCUCGGAAUCAUUGGGCGUAAAGCGCGUGUAGGCGGUUCGGUAAGUCCGCUGUGAAAGUCGGGGGCUCAACCCUCGAAUGCCGGUGGAUACUGUCGGACUAGAGUACGGAAGAGGCGAGUGGAAUUCCUGGUGUAGCGGUGAAAUGCGCAGAUAUCAGGAGGAACACCAAUUGCGAAGGCAGCUCGCUGGGACGUUACUGACGCUGAGACGCGAAAGCGUGGGGAGCAAACAGG